UGUGACAUACCACUUGUUGCCUCGGCGGAUCAGCCCGCUCCCGGUAAAACGGGACGGCCCGCCAGAGGACCCCUAAACUCUGUUUCUAUAUGUAACUUCUGAGUAAAACCAUAAAUAAAUCAAAACUUUCAACAACGGAUCUCUUGGUUCUGGCAUCGAUGAAGAACGCAGCAAAAUGCGAUAAGUAAUGUGAAUUGCAGAAUUCAGUGAAUCAUCGAAUCUUUGAACGCACAUUGCGCCCGCCAGUAUUCUGGCGGGCAUGCCUGUUCGAGCGUCAUUUCAACCCUCAAGCACAGCUUGGUGUUGGGACUCGCGUUAAUUCGCGUUCCUCAAAUUGAUUGGCGGUCACGUCGAGCUUCCAUAGCGUAGUAGUAAAACCCUCGUUACUGGUAAUCGUCGCGGCCACGCCGUUAAACCCCAACUUCUGAAUGUUGACCUCGGAUCAGGUAGGAAUACCCGCUGAACUUAAGCAUAU
rnacentral:rRNA from 1 species